GAUCAUGGCUCAGGAUGAACGCUAGCUACAGGCUUAACACAUGCAAGUCGAGGGGAAACGAUAUUGGAAGCUUGCUUCCGAUAGGCGUUCGACCGGCGCACGGGUGAGUAACGCGUAUCCAACCUGCCCAUCACUUGGGGAUAACCUUGCGAAAGUAAGACUAAUACCCAAUGACGUCUCUAGAAGACAUCUGAAAGAGAUUUAAAGAUUUAUCGGUGAUGGAUGGGGAUGCGUCUGAUUAGCUUGUUGGCGGGGUAACGGCCCACCAAGGCGACGAUGGGUAGGGGUUCUGAGAGGAAGGUCCCCCACAUUGGAACUGAGACACGGUCCAAACUCCUACGGGAGGCAGCAGUGAGGAAUAUUGGUCAAUGGGCGCGAGCCUGAACCAGCCAAGUAGCGUGGAGGACGACGGCCCUACGGGUUGUAAACUCCUUUUAUAAGGGGAUAAAGUUGGCCAUGUAUGGCCAUUUGCAGGUACCUUAUGAAUAAGCAUCGGCUAAUUCCGUG
rnacentral:rRNA from 1 species